rnacentral:rRNA from 1 species
UACGUAGGGUGCGAGCGUUAAUCGGAAUUACUGGGCGUAAAGCGCGCGCAGGCGGUUUCUUAAGUCUGAUGUGAAAGCCCACGGCUCAACCGUGGAGGGUCAUUGGAAACUGGGGAACUUGAGUGCAGAAGAGAAAAGCGGAAUUCCAGGUGUAGUGGUGAAAUACGUAGAUAUCUGGAGGAACACCGGUGGCGAAGGCGGCGAUCUGGCCCAACAUUGACACUGAGACUCGAAAGCGCGGGGAUCAAACAGG